rnacentral:misc_RNA from 1 species
AACGCACGAGACCUGCGGACCUGCGGAGGGAUCAUUACUGAGUUUCACAACUCUCUAACCCUGUGUGAACUGAAGUCUGGUUGCUCAGGCAGGCGGCCCCCGGGGGGAGCCGCAGCUUCUCUGAAGCGCCUGCCGGAGGAUACCUAAACUCGUUUUAACAUAUAAUCUUCUGAGUAAUAAAAAAAAUGAAUCAAAACUUUUAGCAACGGAUCUCU